rnacentral:tRNA from 1 species
UGAGGUCUAGGGUAGUGGUUUGAGUGUUGGACUAUGACUCUGGAGACCAGGGUUCAAUUCCCAGCUUGUCCA